UUGCCAGACUCCUACGGGAGGCAGCAGUGAGGAAUAUUGGUCAAUGGGCGCAAGCCUGAACCAGCCAAGUCGCGUGAGGGAAGACGGCCCUACGGGUUGUAAACCUCUUUUGCCGGGGAGCAAGCCUGAGCACGUGUGCCCAGGCGGAGAGUACCCGGAGAAAAAGCAUCGGCUAACUCCGUGCCAGCAGCCGCGGUAAUACGGAGGAUGCGAGCGUUAUCCGGAUUUAUUGGGUUUAAAGGGUGCGCAGGGGGAAGAUCAAGUCAGCGGUAAAAUUGAGGGGCUCAACCUCUUCGAGCCGUUGAAACUGGUUUUCUUGAGUGAGCGAGAAGUAUGCGGAAUGCGUGGUGUAGCGGUGAAAUGCAUAGAUAUCACGCAGAACUCCGAUUGCGAAGGCAGCAUACCGGCGCUCAACUGACGCUCAUGCACGAAAGCGUGGGUAUCGAACAGGAUUAGAUACCCUAGUAG
rnacentral:rRNA from 1 species